CUGUUGAUGUAAGCCACAAAUACAUAGUAAACAAGACAAAGGUACAGCUAAGAUUUGCUACAGAGUCCCCGUCGACGAACCCUAAGAUUUGCUAUUAAAUGCCGCCGGUCUUUAGGUUGAUGGCAACGCAACGGCGACUGUCCACCAAAGCCAGCCGUCAAGACAUACAUAAAGCAUUCAAACCUUCCGCACGCAUCAAUAGGUCCCAUUUUGCCUACCAAAGACGCAUUCUUUUCGUGCAUGCCCGGUUUCCCAAAAAAUAUCCUCCUCUCCUUCGUUCGCCGGUUGGAAUUUGGAAGCAAGGGAUGGAUUUGGAGGACGCAAGGCGGGAAAUUGGAGUCUUUUGGGUUGUCCGUAAAGGUGGUGAAGGAUGAGAACUUGUCGUUGCCGCGGGCAACGAUGAGACGUGCUCGUUUCCUCCGACUCCUGCCGAGGCGGAACGGGAUUUAAGGGUUCCUCAGAUGCAUUCGGUGAGGUUGAUGCCUUUCGAGCAUUGCACAUUGUGAGUCUAUUACAUGUCAAAGGUUUGAAGUUGCUUUCGAUGUUCUUGUUUAUAUCAUCUUGAAGACAAUUAACUUUUCAUAUGUGGAUGAGGUGCAAUUGGCUUUUAACCACUUUCUCGUCACUAAGUUAUAAACUUAGUGAAACACUUAUCAUAUGUGUCUAAUGCCUUUUAGUUUCACUGUGUAUAAUUCUUGAACCUGCACUUUGCUAGCUCACAAUGCAUUUGCCCGUUUACCUUAUCUUGAAAUGAAGUGAGCAAGCUAAUGAACUGAAUAGUAUUUCUAUGUCAUCAUUUUAUCUUUAAUCUGUUUCAUCUUGAGCUAAUAAUUGCUAUUUGUAGUCAUUAACCAAUCGGAUUAUUGAACAAUAGGUUCUAAGGAGGCCAUGCCAUGCCAUGCAAAUUACUUCCACUGGCAGCCUUAGGAAGCCAUUGAACAUUGUCCUAUGAAGUUGCUGCAAUUUAUAAGAUAUUUUAAUCAUGCUGCAGCACAACCAUUAAGUGAAAAGAUGGCUUCCAUCUGAACAUAUAAACUGAUUACGAUUGAUAAUGAGCAAAUAAAUGACCUGAUUUACAGAAUCCAAGACUUGUGAGAAUUUAUUAAAGAAACUAACAAACAGCAUGAUUAUGAUAAAUUCUAAGUAUUUCAUUAGUAUAAAACAAUUGUCGUUUCCUGGCUUUCGCCUACGUAUACGAUAGGAAGAUACCAACGUGUUUGACCAUACAAAUCGUUUACAUUGAUCAAAAUUUAUAAAAAGCUACAACAAUAAUUUAAAUUUAUCAAUUUGGAAAACCAUAUCUCAAGAGUGUGUCAAGCUAUUCAGAUGUAUUUCAUAAAUGAAUUAAGAUUAGUGCACUUAUCUCAGUUAUGACUUUCAAUUGUUAGCCAAUAACCAAGAACAAAAUAAAAUUUUCUUUUAACAUGGUAUUCGAGUUUUGUUGAAAAAAUCAACAAAUGAGAAAAGUAUGAGGGUGUGCUGAAAUAAAAGAAAACAAACCAAGGAAAGUAUUCCUUCUUUAGCAUUCUUUCCUGGAAAUAUUACACGGUUGACCUGACCAGUAAUAUUUCAGAAACAAAUAAGAUAAGAAAAGGAAAUAACCAAUAUGAUACAAAAUUUUAGCAUGCAUCGAUGCUCAUUUCAUGCUUCAAAUUUUUUUGCAUGAACUGGCUAAGUACAGUAAAUUUCCAAUGCUGCAUAGUUUCUGCCCAAUGUCCUCAUUUCUUCUUAAUUAAUUUUGUCGAGAAGCUUCCUAUAGUCAUUUUGAGAUGAAACUGAUAGGCCUUUUGUUGAAAUGAUAGCUAAUCAUAUUUUGAUCUCAGUAUUGCUGGCAGAAAUUGGUAAAACUGUCUUGUUUCCGUCUUAUAGCUCAUCAUGUCCUAGUAAUUUCUUCAUGUUUCAUUGCUAAUCUAGGAGAUGUUCCUUUUUGUAUAUUAUGAUUUCCCUAAAGCUGUGAUGGGAUCAUCGUAGCAACAUAAAAAAAUUUUCCUCCUGUCCCACAUGCAUGAGGCUCUAAAGACAUGCUUCUUUGUCAUGAAGCUAAAGAUGCCAACUUCACUGUUUGAAUUCUAUCUUGCAGAGGUUCUUGGAAUUUGUUUGAGAAUUUGUGGAGUAUUUUACUCAAGAUAAUUUUUUCUCUUUUCUCAAGAAAGGAACCCGAAUAUUUCUGUUGCCCCACAGUCAAAAAGAGCAAAGAACAUGCUAAAAAAUGAAUCCAGAAAGAAGAAAGAUCUGCAAAGCUGAGGCAGAAAAAAAGAUUUUUUUGAGAAGAAGAAAAGUGUACCUUUGAUGUGAGUGCUCGUAGAGGAGAGAUAUUGACGCGGCUCAAUCCAACUACAUGGCUGUAUGAGCAUAUCCAGCCAUGUCUUCAGAUUGAGGCACGCCAAUACCUCCCCCUUCAGAUCCCAUCCUAUAUUCCUCUUCGAGCUGUGUACCAAACAGAUCAUGACACCAAUGUUCUUCCCUGGCCAUGCCGUGAUCAGCAUCUACUAUAAUAAUGCUAAGUUGUAUUGUUCAAAGGAUAGAAGAAGCGAGGUUUGUGGAGAAGAGAGGAACAACAUAAGGUUCGUCUCUUACAUGACUGUGGAUGGAUACGUAGAGGCAGAAGCAGGAGAAAAGAGGGAGAAAAUGAAUCUGAGAGGACCACAUCAACAUGAAUCACUUUCAAGAUAAUCCAUGUAUACGUCGGUCGCAAUCAUUAAAAUUUCCCGGUAGGCAUCUGUCAUGUGUCUCUGCUUUGUCAAAUGGCAGUGUAAGACAUGUAUACAACUAUUAGAUUCUGUAAAGAGUGGAAGUAACUAUAUCUCUUGUAUUAAAAUUUAAAUGUGAUCUGAAAUGCAUAAAAGCUAUGUUACUAAUGAUAGACCGA